UACGUAGGGGGCGAGCGUUGUCCGGAAUUAUUGGGCGUAAAGAGCGUGUAGGCGGUUCGGUAAGUCUGCCGUGAAAUCCUGGGGCUCAACCCCGGGCGUGCGGUGGAUACUGCCGGGCUAGAGGGUGGUAGAGGCGAGUGGAAUUCCCGGUGUAGCGGUGAAAUGCGCAGAUAUCGGGAGGAACACCAGUAGCGAAGGCGACUACCUGGCCUGUUCUUGACGCUGAGGCGCGAAAGCUAGGGGAGCAAACGGG
rnacentral:rRNA from 1 species